rnacentral:lncRNA from 1 species
GUGAAGUCAAAUUCUCAUAAUUUUAUCUGUUAUUCCAUUGUACGGCAGCUGAGCUGUGACUCAAACCACAAGAUUCAGUCAUUCUCACUUAUUUCUCCCCUUUGCUUAGACAGAGGAGCCUCACCUCCUGGCCACCUCCACCGCCAGCCCAUGCCAGAGUUUCCUUAAGGUCCAAGUGGGUUUCAGUCAGCUUGCGAUGAUUGUUGCCUUUCCUGGGACUCACACUUCAGGGCAGUGGGCUCCCCUCUGGCCCAUGGCACUUCCAGAAAUGCCAUUCAAGAGACAAAUUUCUGGAAUUUGGGGAUCCCAGGAGCCCACUUGGUGUUCUACUUACCUGUGGCAGAGCUGAUACCUAAAGGAAGCAAGUAUCCAAGUCUCACCCAAGGCCCAUGGUGUACUACCUGGAUAUCACUGGAUAUAAAGAGCCCAAGGGCUCUUUAAUUAGCAGGUGAUGAAACCUGCUGGGAUUGAGUCUUUUUCUUCAAGCCAGUGAUUUUUCCUUCUGUCCCAGGUGUGUCUAGAAGUGUUAUCUUGGACCUACAGCCUGGACAGUGGGCCUCAUGCCUUUGACUGGUGCCCUGUGCUACUCUGGCUAAGCUGGUAUCCAAGAUGCAAGACAGAGUCUUUUAAAAUUUUUCCUCUCCUCUCCACAAGUGGAAGAGAGGGGUCACUUUUGUGUCUGAGAGAUGUGCAGCCUGGGUUUGAGGGAGGUAUUGUGCAAACACUCCUUUAGCUGCCCAACUGGUGUCUCAGCAGGUCACAUGCCUCCCAAGUUCACUGGCUCUAAGCCCAUUUCAGCAGUAGAAUUUGCCUACGUUUUUCAGUCGUCUGGCCUAGAUUGCAUUUCAAGUUUACUUAGGGCACCAGUACGCUUUAGCCCACGGUGGCAAGGCUUGCUAGAAAUCUGCUUCUGACUGCUUAGAUGGGUGAUUCCUCUCUGGCUAGGGUUGUCUUAAAUAUUCUCUCCAUGGGGGAGCAUCAGCUGAGUUUAGCCUGGUUUUGUUUUCUUCUGUGAUAGGGCAGUAUUGAGUUCAAUGCAACGUCUCACAACUGUUGCACUCUCCCUCUUCCAAGAUCACAGAUUCUCUAUCUCUGCCACACAGUUGCUGCUGGGCACUGGGGAGGUGUAGUGUCAGCAAUUCAUGACUGUCUUUUUUUAACCUUUUCAGUGCCUCUUUCAGUAAUAUGAAGUUAAACCAACAUACUGUGAUUAUUCAUCUGAUUCUUUGUUCUUACGAAGAUGCUUUCUUUGUUUAAAUAUUUGUUAAAUUGUUUUUCUUGGUGAAGGGCUUUUGGGGGAGCCUUCUAUUCACCCAUCUUUCUCUGCCUUUCUCCAGCCAAUACCUUUUCAAAGAAGUUUCUUUGACAUAUAACCCUUGCCCCACAUCACAUACUGGAUAGAUACUGUACCUGUGGGUUUUUAUAGUAUCUUACAGUUACUUGUAUUAUGGCACUUACCAAAUUGCCUUGUCAUCAUUUUAUAUCCCCCAUGUACGUUUUGGUUUCCUUCAGAUGUGGAAGUGAAUCUUGUUUUUCAUGUGUUCAAUAUAGUAUCUAAAUAUAAUAGGCAAUUAUAUGUAUAUAAUUGAAUGAAUGAAUCAGUAAAUGAACAAAUCAACAAUAUGCUAAAGAAUUACAGAUAAAUGGAUGUAUACAAAAGUAAGCAUAGAAAUUUUUAUGGAGAAUGUAAUAUUGAACUAAGCCACUAGGGGAGGAGUAGAGUAGUAUAUGCAAAAGUACAGAGGCAUGCAUUAGCAAGUUGCAUACAAUUGUGGAAGGGACAUAGGAUAUAUAUUUUCGAAUGGUGAAAAACUAAGAAAAUGGUCUGCCUGGGGGCAGAUCAUCAGGGCUUUACACAGCAUGCUAAAAAGUUUGGACUUUAUCUUGAAAGCUAUAAACAGACAUUGAACAUUUUUAAGCAAGUUGGUUACAUGAGCAGAUUUCCAUUCAGAGAGAUUACCCUGGAGAUGAUAGAUUGGAGGAUGGAAUGAGAAAGGAGAAAAAAAGUGGAGGCAGAGAAAUUACUUAGAAAGCUUUUUCAGUAUUCUAGGUAAUAGAUGAUGGUGAGUAGAAUAAAGCCAGUAGUACUUCCAGGCGGAAAUAAAAUGACAAAUUUAAGAUAUACUUAUUAAGUCAAACUGACAGGAAUCAAAGUAUGAAUAUGAGAUUUUUUUAAAAAAAUACAACUUGGGGAUGAUUCUCAAGUUUCUUUAUUGGAUAUAAAAUGAAUAUUUUCCUCAUUAAAUGAGAUGGGAAUUACAGGAUAAGCAGUUAGUAUGGGAGAAUAGAAUAUAUUGAAUCUUGGUUUGGUCAUGAUGUUUGAGAUUCCGUAAGAUAUUCAAGUAGAUAUGGGCAGGAUGUCAUUUGAAAUACUUAUUUGGGGCUUGUUAAAAAUAUUUACCUUUUCAUUUGCCUGCCUGCCAACCUAUCUCCUUAACUACUUUUCAAUUGCCUAAUAAAUUACCAUUCUAUCUUGUCUGAAAUUAAAACAGUGUUGUCUCAGAAAUUACUUUUAUAUCCUUCCAGUUUCAAUCACUGGAAUAGUUGUAAUGACCCAAUUUUAGCAAUAAUAAUUUGAUUCUCCCUUCUGCUUUCAGUUAAAACCUAUCCCAUUAGCCCCACAUUUUUAAUGUUUUCUGUCCUUACUACUUACUUUCAAAAUUUGAAGUCCAUAGGACAGUCAAGGCACUAGCUGUUACCAUAGGUUUGCUUUAAAUGGUGGAAAAGCCAGAGAUAGGCCCUUUGCCAAUUAGCCAUUGAUUAUACUUACCCUGACUACAGUGUUCUAAUUCCAGCACUACCCACAGAAUUGUAUGGAUUAUUUUCCCUAUCCCCCAGGAUGUCUGAAAGGCCUUACUGUUAUAAGACUCUGAAAGUUUCAAGGUCAUAAAAUCUCCAUAACUGCCACAGCCUAAGUUCUUCGUAUAACUCUAUUUUGACCUAAAAGCUUUAAGUUUAUUAUUUAUCUGUAUUAUUUUAAAGUGUGUGAGGUGGAGGUUCUUAUUUAUGCACAGAAUUCAUGGAGAAUGAAAACACUUUUUUUUUUUUUUUUGAGACGGAGUUUCUCUCUUGUCACCCAGCCUGGAGUGCAGUGGCGCCAUCUCAGCUCACUGCAACCUCUGACUCCUGAGUUCAAGUGAUUCUCCUGCCUCAGCCUCUUGAGAAGCUGGGAUUACAGGCACCUGCCACCAAGCCUGGCUAAUAUUUUUGUAUUUUUAGUACAGACAGGGUUUCGCCAUGUUGGGCAGGCUGGUCUGGAACUCCUGACCUCAGGUGAUCCACCCGCCUCAGCCUCCCAAAGUGCUGGGAUUAUAGGCGUGAGCCUACGGGUCCGCUGAAGACACUUUAUUGUAAAGUUUAUCUGGGUUUAAGAUAUUUUAGAAGAAAAUAACAUUGGUCUCAAUGAGGUCUUAUUUCUCAUUUUCCUUAUUUUCCAGUCCCAUCACACCCUUCUGUAUGACACAAGCCUAUAUAUGGGUUAAACAUUGCAUGCUUCCAGUAAUACCAACUUAAACAAUUAUGCCAGUGGACCAAAACAUAUGCAUAGUAUAACAGCAUCCUGGUACUACAGAAAUAUCAAGGCAAAGUUGAGAAACUGCAUGAAAGAUAAUGUGUAUCAUCACUCAUUUAAUAUAGGAACAGAUGGAGAAAGCUAUUUCUCUUAUCUUCCAUUUAUUUAUCACUGGUAUUUUUGCAGCUGCCUAACUAUAAACUUGCUAAGGAAAUCAGCAAAGUUGUAUUUUAAAAACUGUGUUAACUAAGUGAAACAUGUAGAAAAGUUUUACUUUCAUAUACUUACAGGCAAUGGCAGAUACAAAAUAAUCCCACCUUUGACAGAUGAUACAAAUUACAGAUAUCAUGAACACCAAAAAAUGUACAUUGUGUUCUCUGCUAUAGUGUCACUUAAAGUAAAAGGAGAGAAUACCAAGCAGUCUGAUGUAACUGAAAUCCAAACAACUAUAAGUGCAAAUAAUAUUUCUGUUAAGCUUAGUGAUCUGAUUUAAGAAGCGUGUGUUUGUUCUUUUCCUAACUGAAAGCAAAUGUCAAUGCAUUCAAAGGCUCUAGAAUAACUUGUACGGUCUUCCUAAAAUUUAAAAUUAAACGACUGUUGUUAUAUUUCACUAGCAGGCACAAGUACCUUUUCUAUUUGUUUGUUUCUUAGUUGUGGUUGAUAAUCUUUGGCCUUGUAUCUUCAAGAUAAUAACUACAGAAAAGCCCCAAUUUCUUUACUAAUAUAUUUCUGAGUACUGGAUUGAAGUCAAACUGUUGUAAGUCAACUUCUCACUUCUUACAUGUGUGUUUCUAUAAACUAGAAUCCCAUUAACAGAAAUUUAUUCCAUAAUAUGAAAAUACCAAUAUUAAGCAUGUUAUUAAAAGUAAAUCAAAUUAUAUGUUUUUACAUGUAUUUAUUUUAUAAAAACACAACAGCAAAGCUACAGGAUAUAUAUUCUGUAGGAGAAUGUUUACUUAAAUAAAAUUGUUGAGGAUUUCUUUAGAAAACUGACUUUUUAAGGUUUGUAAAUGGUACACAACACUACAAACUAAAAAUGAAAGCUAAAAAUGAGCCCUCUAUUACAACUAGAAUAUACCUCAGGUAAGCCCCACUCUUCCAGGCUGAACCCUGGAAGAACGUGAAACAAACCUGAACCUGGUAAUCAGUUCAGGUUUGAACCAAAGCUCCCUUAGCUUACCCAUCAACCCGUCAGUGAAAAAUUAGUGUUGGUAAACCACUGAGUUUUGGGGUUGUUAUGCAGCUUUAUCUCACACAAGCACACUAAUGGACCAAAGUUAAGUCACUGAAUCGCAGAAAUUACAAACAAUAAAUCUCAAUCCUCUCUAGAAAAGCACAAAACAUUUAAAGAACUAAAAGAUACACUUACAAAAAUAGGCAAACACAGAAAAUUAACAGGAAUGAACACACACAUUUUGGGAGAAAAUUUACAACAUAUGGAAAAUCUAGAUACAGAAAAUGUAAUUGUUAACCAAAAAUCAAACUCAAUGGAAGAAUUUAACAACAUAUUAGACACAACUUAAGUGAUAAUUAGUGAAGUGGGAGAGUCUGUGAAAAAAAUUACCCAAUAUGGAACACAGAGACUAAAAGAUGGACAAUAUGAAAGGUAUCAUAAAAGAUAAUGAAGAUAGAAUGAGAAGUCUAGUCAUGUAAUAUGUAUCUAAUUAAAGGUUCAGAUAUAGAGAAUUAAAAGAAAGAAGUGUAAGUAAUUAUUUGAAAAAUACCAAACUAAUAAAACUAAACAUAAAUCCGAGAAGGAACAAUAUAUACCAAGCAGUAUAUAAUUUAAAAAAAAUCUACUUUGACAUGUUGUAGUAAAUUUGAAGAAAGACACAUAAAAUGUCUUAUUUGCAGUUAUAUAAAGACAGGUCACAUACAAAGAAUGAGCAAUCAGAAUAUUAGAAUUUAUUUCAGAAUAAAAUUGGACUCAUCUGCUUUUAUUAGGGCUUAUUCUUUGGGAAAUUAAGUCUCCUCUCUCAAAGAAUAAAGGCUUUUGCCUUUUGUUGAAAAUCUUUGAGUUAUCACUUUGGCUAAGUUAGUGACUUAUUUUACAACGACCUGUGAUCCUAUUUAGUGAUAUUAAGUGUUUUAAAAUUUUACUUUUGACAAACUUUUCAAAGUCAAGUUCUAACUUUGGUCCUCAUUAAUUUUUUAAUAUUAGUCCCCUGAAGUCCAAAAGAAAUAUAUUCAGCUUAUUUGGUAUAAAGAAAUCGUACAGGAAGUACUGUCAAAUAUAAAAUACGUGACAAUAUUUUGUCAAACUAAAUUAGGUGUUUAGCCUUUCUUUGGAUUAUAUUUAUAUAAAUGUGUUAUUAGUAUGUGUUCCAGAAUUGUAUACAAUUCCUGCUAUGCUGAUACGUUUUAGCAUAUGUUACCAGUAGUAAUUAUAAUUAUUAUGUAAAAUUAUAUGCCACAGAAGUAACCAAAUUUUCUUGUCAAUUGUGUCUUUAUGACUGUUUUAAGACUUUUGUCAUCCACAAUUGUUUUACUUUUAUCAUUUUCAAAAGGUGGUUUUAUAAUCAGCAUAGGACUCUGAUGGGUGCUGUGAAAUGCAGUUUUGGAGAUUGUGACAUAGAUUAGGGAAAAAAAACUCCCAAGACUCCCAUGGAGAGCUAAAAUGUUCCGGAAUAUCAAGCAGAAUGGGAGGUAACGACAUGGACUGAACUAACAGAAGACUGAAAUAAUCCUGUAAUGACUUUUUGCUUAAAAUGUUGUUAUCCUUUUCUUUGUUUUUCACAGCCAAAAAAAAAUUUUUUUUCUUUUGAGCUAUUUGCAGCUUUUAACAAUCGAAUAAAGUGUGCUCCUAUAAAAAAAAUUGGAGCAUAUUUCUCUCUACCUAAUUUCUUCAAAAUUUAGAAACUAGUUUUUAAUAUGUAAGGUCAGCUGAGAGAGAAAGAAUGAGAGAGAGAGAGACCCAAGUUCAGCAAGCCUUUAUUAACCUACAGACUGCCCUCUAAACAGUCAGAGAGAGCAGCCCCCAGCUUACAGAAUGAGGGGUUUAUAUUGGGGAGGGAGUUUGAGGGAGUUCUUUGGUAUGGCUGCAUCCCGGGGUUGUUUGCUGGUUAAUUUUGCCACAUAUUACCCUGUGAUGUUUAUGGUAGAAUUUACAGGAGGGUGUAGGUAAAGUUUGUUUAUGCUUCCCACAACCUCCCCCGUGCGGUCUGGAUUUUUUGUAAUUGGGGUUUGCUUUAUUGAAGCAAGACCUGAUAGAUAAAAUCUGCUGGCUUCACCACAGCGCCUAGGUAAGGGCUUAGAAAUGUAAAAUGGUUUUGGGGAAGGGUGGGCAGCAUGGAGAGGUUUGGGGGGAGUGUUGGCAGUACCAAGAAGCUUUUUGGGGCGGUUUGUCCCUAACAGAAUAUACUUCACUUAUGGCAAUAUAGUGAUUUGCAUAAGUGCAAUAAGAAUCUGUGUUAUUAACAGGACAGAAUUGGAGACAUUGGUUAUUUAAGGUUUUGACUGAAAUGGCAUCCUAUCAGGUAAAGACUCCUUUAAGGAAUGAAAGAUGGCUUACAGAGCCAAUGAAAGUCCCUUGGGAAAGCUGACUUCAAACCUUGUCUACAAAGUCCUCGUAUAGGUUUCUGAUCUGUGGUAAGUAAAGAAUGUCGCUUUCUGGCCAGGUGCGGUGGCUCAUGCCUGUAAUCCCAGCACUUUGGGAGGCCGAGGCAGGUGGAUCACAAGAUCAGGAGUUCGAGACCAGCCUGACCAACAUGGUGAAACCCCAUUUCUACUAAAAAUACAAAAAUUAGCUGGGUGUGGUGGCGCGCACCUGUAAUCCCAGCUACUCAGGAGGCUGAGGCAGGAGAAUCACUUGAAUCCAGGAGGCAGAUGUUGCAGUGAGCCAAGAUCACGCCAUUGCACUCCAGCCUGGGCGACAGAGCGAGACUCCGUCUAAAAAAAAAAAAAAGAAUGUUGCUUUCUGACAAGCCCAGGGGCCCCAAGUUUUCUGGGGACCUUGAGGUGAAGAAUUCACCUAAUUAAUAAAGUUUUCUCUGUGUAGGACGUGAGACUUUACGACCUGCUAAAAAUGAGCUUUCCUAAUAAUGUGGGACCUAUUCAUCUAAGAAUAAAUCAUCCGCUCCGUGACAGAUCAGACAGAACCUGAGACCAGAAACUCAUUUUCUUCUAAAAUGCUUUCUCUGAAAGAUUUUAAAAAGAAAAGGGGGAAAUGUAAAAGGAAAAUACAUCUUGAGACCCCCAAAUCACUAAGCCAAAGAAAGAGGUUAAGCUGAGAACUGCUUAGGGAAAAUCUUCCUUCCAUUCUAUUCCUAAAAACGAUAGCUCGUAAGAUUAAAAAAGCUACAUACCUGCCUCACAAGAAAUUUCCUUGCAGACAAAGGGCAUGCAGAACUCAAAGUCAUUCCUCUGCUCACUGAGAUAGAUAUGUAUUGAUUGUCUCCACUGGAAAGGCUAAUCAGAAACUCAAAAGAAUAACAUCGAAGGUGCCACUCCUGAGGAAAUCUCAACUGCACGACCCCUACUACGCCCCAAUUCAGCAGGAAGCAGUUAGAGCGGUCGUGGGCCAACCUCCCCCAACAGCACUUGGGUUUUCCUGUUGAGAGGGGGACUGAAAGGCAGGACUAGCUGGAUUUCCUAGGCCGACUAAGAAUCCCUAAGCCUAGCCGGGAAGGUGACCGCCUCCACCUUUAAAACACAGGGCUUGCAACUUAGCUCACACUUGACCAAUCAGGUAGUAAAGAGAGCUCACUAAAACGCUAAUUAGGCUAAAACAGGAGGUAAAGAAAUAGCCAAUCAUCUAUUGCCUGAGAGCACAGGGGGAGGGACAAUGAUUGGGAUAUAAACCCAGGCAUUCAAGCUGGCAAGGGCAACCCCCUUUGGGUCCCCUCCCAUUUUAUGGGAGCUCUGUUUUCACUCUAUUAAAUCUUGCAACUGCGAAAAAAAAAAAAAAGAAUGCAACGGUUUGCCUUUUAUCUGCCUAUGACCUGGAAGCCCCCUCCCUGCUUUGAGUUGUCCUGCCUUUCAGGACUGAACCAAUGUACAUCUUACACAUAUUGAUUGAUGUCUCAUGUCUCUCUAAAAUGUAUAAACCAAGCCAUGCCCCGACCACCUUGGGCACAUGUCACCAGGGCCUCCUGAGGCUAUGUUACAGGCACAUGUCCUUAACUUUGGGAAAAUAAACUUUCUAAAUUGACUGGGAUCUUUCUCAGAUAUUUGGAACUCACUCUACACAGACACACAGACACACACACAAACACACUCACAAACAUGCACACACAAAUACACAUAUAUGUAUAUUUGUGUUAUAAACGUAUUAGUCCUUUUUCUGUAAUACAGAUUUUAAGUAAACUCCAGUGCUUCAUUUGUCUUUUUACUUUGCUUAUCGUUCUUUUUUUCUUUUAAGUUUUAAAACACUUUAGGGAAUAGGAAGAGCAAGAUGACUAAAAAAAUCUCUCCAAUGAUAACCCUACCACAGGAACACCGAAUUGAAUAACUAUACAUGCAAGAAAGAACUUCCAUAAAAACCAAAAAAAAAUAAGCAAUCACAGUACCUGAUUAUAACAUCAUAUCAAGAAAAGAAGCACUGAAGAGGGUAGCCAGGGUAGUCUUGCAUUGCCUACAUCAUCCCUCCUCCAUCCCCCAGCAGUACAAAGAGAGAUAAUGUAUGUGCUUGUGGGAGGGGGAGUCAAGGACUUUGGUAUUUGUAUUGGAAUUCAGUGCUACCUUGUCCCAGUGGAACACAACACAGGGCAGAAUUUAGCCAGUGCCAACAGAGGAGGCAUUUAGACUAACCCCAGUCAAAAGGUAAUCUUUUACUCCAGCAGUGGGAACCUGAGCUCUGGCUAGCUCCAUCAAUGCCUGAUUAAUGUAGCCUGGGGUCCUGGAUAAACUUGAAAGACAGUCAGGCUCAAGGCUUGCAGUCCUUGGGUAAGUCCUGUUGCUUUGCUGAGCUUGGAGACAGUGGUAUUGAGAUACCCACAGCUCAGUGAGACAAAAGCUGGAGUGGCCAAGGGAAUGCUUGCAUCAGCUCUUCUCCAACUCCAGGAAGCACAACUCAUAGCUCCAGGAGAGACUCCUUCCACUUGCAGAAAGGAAAAGGAAGAGUAAAAAGAACUUUGUCCUGUGACUUAGAUACACUUUCAGCCACAGUUUAAAAAUAACAAUAAUAAAAAAAUAAAAGCAUAAAGCAGAGUCCUGAGACCUCCAAUUCCAGACCCUAGGUCUUGGAUGACAUUUCUAAACCCACCCUGGGCUAGAAGGGAACCCACUAACCUGAAGUGAAAAACCAAGCCUUGGCAGGAUGCAACACAUGCUGACUAAAGGGACCUUGAUAGGGCUACAUGAGUGGUAGCCAGGCAGUAGUCACCAUGGGCCUUGGACUAGACCCAUUACCGUGCUGGCUUCAAGUGUGACCCAGCAUAGUCCCAACUUUGGUGGCCCUGGAAGUGUUUGCAUCAUCCCUCCCCCAAUUUCAGUCAGCCCAGCACAGAGAGACAAACACUUGUUUGGGGAAAAGUGAGAGAAGAGGAUGAGAGACUCCCUGGUAUUCCAGGAAAUGCUCCCAGAUCUUAUUCAAGUCCACCCAUGAUAUACCUCUGCAAGUAUGCAAAUAUGGCAUCACUACUGGACUUGUGGCACUCCCUAGUGCAGAUAUAGCUGCAGUAACCAAAGACUUAAGUUGCAACUCUAGAUAUGGGAAAGUCUUCUCGAGAAGUAUAAAUCCAAACAAGAAAGAACUGCAAAGAUUAGAAUACCUAAACUCUUCAGCGCCCAAACAUCAUGAACAUCAACAAGCAUCAAGAAUAUACAAGAAAACAUGACCUGACCAAAUGAACAAAAUAAGGCACCACUGACCAAUCCUGGAGUGAGAGACAUAUGUGACUUUUCAAAAGAGAACUCAAAAUAGGUUUUUUUGAGGAAGCUUAACCAAUUUCACAGUAACACAAAUAAGGAAUUUAGAAUUCUAUUAGAAAACAUUUACAAAGAGAUUGAAAUAAUAGAAAAAUCAAGUAGAUAUUUAGAAGUUUAAAAAUUCAAUUAACAAAAUGAAAACAUGCAUCAGAGUAUUUUAAUAGCAGAAAUUAUUAGGCUGAAAAAAAAUAGUGAACUUGGAGAUCGGCUACUGAAAAUGCACAGUAAGAGAAAGCAAAAGAAAAAAGGAUGAAAAAGAAUGAAGUAAACCAACAAGAUCUAGAAAAAGGCCUCAAAAAAAUCUAAUCAUUACUGGUCUAAAAGAGGAGGUAUAGCAAGAGGUUGGGGUAAAAGUCUAUUCAAAGAAAUAAUAACAGUGAACUUUUGAAACCUAAAGAAAGUUAUCAAUAUUCAAGUUUAAGAAAGUAAUAGAACACCAAGUGGAUUUAACACAUUAAGACUACUUCAAGACAUUCAAUAAUCAAACUCCCAAAACAAAAAGAUAAAGAAAGAAUCCUAAAUGCAGCAAGAAAAAACAAGCAAAUAACAUACAAAGGAGUGUCAGUAUCCAGUGAAAAUACCUUUAAAACAUAAAGGAGGCCAGGCACGGUGGCUCAUGCCUGUAAUCCCAGCACAUUAGCAGGCUGAGGCAGGUGGAUGCACGACGUCAGGAGUUUGAGACCAGCCCGGCCAACAUGGUGAAACCCCGUCUCUAGUAAAAAUACAAAAAUUAUCUGAGUGUUGUGGCGUGCACCUGUAACCCCAGCUGCUUGAGAGGCUGAGGCAAGAGAAUUGCUUGAACCCAGGAGUCAGAGGUUGUAGUGAGCCGAGAUCGGAGAUCGUGCCAUUGCACUCCAGCUGGGGUGACAGAGCAAGACUCUUUCACAAAAAAAAAAAAAAAAAAAAAAAAACACACACACGCACACACAUAAAGGAGAAAUAUUUUCCCAAUGAGCGUUAAGAAAUUUGGAAAACACCAGACCUGUCAUUCAAGAAAUGUAAAAGGAAGUUCUUGAUUCUAAAAAGAAAGAAUGUUAAUGAGCAAUAAGAAAUUAUCUAAAGGUAAAAACUCACAGGUAACAGUGAGUACACAAAGAAUAUUCUGACAAUGUAUUCGCUGUGUGUAAACCAUUCAUAUCUUGAGUAGUAAGACUAAAAGACAAACUUAUUUAAAAUAAUAACUAAAAUACUUUUUAAGGUGUAGAUACUGCAAAGGACAUGAACUCAUUCUUUUUUAUAGCUGCAUAGUAUUCCAUGAUGUAUAUGUACCACAUUUUCUUUAUGCAGUCUAACAUUGAUGGGCAUUUGGGUUGGUUCCAAGUCUUUGUUAUUGUGAAUAGUGCUUCAAUAAACAUGCGUGCAUGUGUCUUUAUAGUUGAAUGAUUUAUAAUCCUUUGGGUAUAUACCCUGUAAUGGCAUUGCUGAGUCAAAUGGUAUUUCUGGUUCUGGAUUCUUGAGUAAUCAACACACUGUCUUCUACAGUGGUUGAAUUAAUUUACACUCCCACCCACAGUAUAAAAGCGGAUACAUUACUAGACAUACACAACUUACCAAAAAAAAAAAAAAAUAGUAAAAGCAUUUCUAUUUCUCCACAUCCUCUCCAGCGUCUGUUGUUUCCUGACUUUUUAGUGAUUGCCAUUCUAACUGGCAUGAGAUGGUAUCUAAUUGUGGUUUGAUUUACAUUUCUCUAAUGACCAGUGAUGAUGAGCUUUUUUUCAUAUGUUUGUUGGCUGCAUAAAUGUCUUCUUUUGAAAAGUGUCUGUUUAUAUCCUUCGCCCACUUUUUGAUAAGGUUGUUUGCUUUUUUCUUGUAAAUUUGUUUAAGUUUCUUGUAAAUUCUGGAUAUUAGCCCUUUAUCAGAUGGAUAGAUUGCAAAAAUUUUCUCCCAUUCUGUAGGCUGCCUGUUCACUCUGAUGAUAGCUCCUUUUGCUGUGCCAAAGCACUUCAUUCUCAGCAAACUAACACAGGAAUAGAAAACCAAACACCACAUGUUCUCACUCAUAAGUGGAAGUUGAACAAUGAGAACAUAUGGGCAGAGGGAGG